rnacentral:misc_RNA from 1 species
UUAGAUGGUUCAAGUACUUCGUUGUUAAUGCCUGUAAAUAAGCCCCGCCCCACGUGUAAUUUUCGAGAACAAAAUUUUUAAGACUUUUUUGGGCUCACUACCUGCGAAAGUGCUGCACCAGGCAGAGAUUUCAUGCACUACAACGCUAUCUCUCUAGACUUCCGCUUGGUGCUGCACUUUUGAAGGGAGUAACAUAGUCUCCAAGUCUCAGGUUCAACCUUGGAUUUAUUUAGCGGUCGCCUGUUAGGUCCGGGGUUGGACCUGAGCCGUUUGCCUUAACUAUUGGUAAUCGAGUCUCCAAUCGAUUUUUCGAGGCAGCUGUCAAGAACCAGGGCAGCCAUGCUAAUUUAUUCCUUCGUUGUUUCUCGUUUUACAUCUGUGAUUUUUUUGCAGCAAAACAGCUAAGGUUAGGUGGUGUAGACAGUUAGCAAAUUGGUAGAAGGGAUGGAUGAAAAAGGGGCUUAAAAUUCGUCGGUUUCGACUGUUAAAGAAUUGCGAGCAAGCUUGAAUUCUGAAAGGAAAGCAUAAAGUGAUGUUCAUAGGAGAAGAAAUAUACGAUCUACUAAUCGAGCUUCAAACCUAAGACCAACUGUGGAGUAAAAACAGAACUUCAUUUCACCAGUCAAUCUUAGAAAGUUUGCCAGUAUGUAAUGAAGCAGCAUGUUCGAACUGCCGCAGAGUAGGCUCAACCCCAGUUAAAUGUCAAACUUGCAGAACCCACCUAUGUGCUGCAUAUGACAAAGUUGUUCACAGAAAGACUGUUACACACCAGCGAGUAUGUGAAGUGAAUGACAGUUUUCAUCAAAUGUUUCCAACUGAAUUUCUUAAUAAUGUGGAUUCCUUGGAGACAAUAACGUGAGGAUCUUGCAAUUCAAUCGGUUCUGUAAGACUCCACGCAGGUACCGUCGCCGAAGACUAUGAUCUUAUUGAUGAUUGGAUGCUAAGCCUGAAUUAUGUAGAAGCUAUCGAGCUCAAUAAAAUUGAAAUAGCAAUGUU